GAUGAAGAACGUAGCGAAAUGCGAUACUUGGUGUGAAUUGCAGAAUCCCGUGAACCAUCGAGUCUUUGAACGCAAGUUGCGCCCGAAGCCAUUAGGCCGAGGGCACGCCUGUCUGGGCGUCACACGUCGUUGCCCCCCCAUCUACUCCUUCGGGAUUGCGGGGGGCGGAUGAUGGCCUCCCGUGCGCCUCGUCGCGCGGUUGGCAUAAAUGCCAAGUCCUCGGCGACGCACGCCACGACAAUCGGUGGUUGCGAAACCUCGGUUGCCCGUCGUGUGCGGUCGUCGCGCAUCGAGGGCUCGAAAAAAUUGCCGGGCUCCGGCUCGGCUUUCAACGCGACCCCAGGUCAGGCGGGGUUACCCGCUGAAUUUAAGCAUAUCAAUAAGCGGAGGA
rnacentral:misc_RNA from 1 species